CUAGCGACUUCAGAGUUUGAUCCUGGCUCAGGAUGAACGCUGGCGGCGUGCAUAACACAUUCAAGUCGAACGAGUUGUAGAAAUACAGCUAGUGGCGGACGGGUGAGUAACGCGUGAGCAAUCUGCCUCUGUGUGCGGGAUACCGGCCGGAAACAGCCGUUAAUACCGCAUGACGCAAUGAAAUCGCAUGGUUUUAUUGCCAAAGGUUUACUGCACAGAGAUGAGCUCGCGUCUGAUUAGGUAGUUGGUGGGGUAACGGCCUACCAAGCCGACGAUCAGUAGCCGGACUGAGAGGUUGAACGGCCACAUUGGAACUGAGAUACGGUCCAG
rnacentral:rRNA from 1 species